GCCCACUGAAAGUGCCUUCCAGCACCGCCCCAAUCUGUCACCCCAGCCUACGUCCCGCUGUCCCCACAAUGUCCUCUCCCUGACCAGGAAACGACGCCCCUAGAGGGUGGCAGCAUGUGGCUUCCUAGUGCCUGGUACUGGCUCCCUCCAGGAUACCUGAACCGGCUCUGCAGGAAGCCAGCAUCAUGGGCAAAUGAAAGCAGGAAAGUUUGGGAAUUUUAGAUGAAAAGAGACCAGAGAGAUCCAGCAACCAAAAGUUCACCUCACCUGAAUUCUGGUUCAAAAGAAAAAAAAAAACCAGAAACAGACAAACAAAAAUCAGCUAUGAAGAGGCUACUGUGGAAGGAGACACCCGCCCCAUCCAAUUCUUGGAGCCACAGCAACGGCCUGGUGCAAAGUGGUGUCACAGCCAGCGCGACAAAUCGACCAGGAAAAUCGAUCCGGAUGCACUUGCCAAGUUGAUCCUCCACACCAUCAAUUCCACUGCUGUCGCUAUCCCCUGUGCCCUUUACUGCCCCUGGGGAGGACUAGAAUCUGCCUUCCACCACACCCUGACCUUGGGCACAGCCCCUCCCCACCUCCAGGUUUCCUGUUCUUGUCUUGUGGAGGCGGUGGUCCCGGGCGGUCCGGGCAUCAUCUUGAGACUGCCAGACAACUUGCUGAGAUUGUAUCCUGACUCUUGCAAUGAGCCGUUUUGGGGAGCCUUCUUCCUCUGAGUCAUCAGAAUGAUUUUGACUUUCUCUGGCUCUGCCGUAUUUUUCCACUAGUCCCAUAAAGGAAUCUGCCUUUCUCUGCUCGC
rnacentral:lncRNA from 1 species